rfam:Ciona savignyi cont_55061, whole genome shotgun sequence.
GCUUAUCACUAUUCCAGAUGAAUAUACCCGAUCUCGUCUGAUCUCGGAAGUCAAGCAAUCUCGGGCUUGGUUAGUACUUGGAUGGGUGACCGCUUGGAAAUACCAAGUGUGAUAAGCA